CGGGCACCAGUAUUCGAAAUAUCUCGGUCCUCCAGUUGUAAGUCAACUGUUUCUCCCCAUUCCCCACUCUUCCCGACCUCGGCAGCGGAAGGCGAAACAAUGGCGACGGCAAGCAGUAUGGCCGAGCUUGCAGACCUACGCCACAGCGGGCUCGAUUUUUUGCUGGAUCCGAUAGACAGACUCCCACUCAUAGAGGUCACGGGUGGUGUUGACCAGCUAGAUCCGUUGGUUUUGACGGCUGUUGGGCCGUCGGCAGUGGCACACGCCGACUCGUUGUGCGGGGUUGCAGCUGGACAACACGGCGGCUCUGCUGAGCAGAUCGAUUCCGGCCGCAAGAGGAAGCAGCCGCCUACUGAAUCCUUCGAGUCCACCAGAGAGUUGCACCAAGAUGGGCAUUGUCAUUGUGGAACAGAAGGUAUACAUAGAAAAUCAGUGUUCCUUUGUCUGAAUCCAUGAUUCUGUUUAGUGCCUAUAUCUAAAAAGCCUCGUGAGCACUACUACUGCUGUCAGCAAAUUGGUCCUCUGUUUUUUGGUAAUCCUCCGUGCGUGCAAUUGACAUACAUAGUGUUUUCAAGGCAGAUUAUGUUGUCCAUGCGCGCAAUUAGCAAAUAUAUUGUUUUCUGGGCAGACCAUGUCAUACAAAAGCAUGCAGAUAAUGUUAACACAUAUCAAUGAGACACUGUGGUAUGAAAAAGAAUAAUUGUAACAUAUCAAAAACUGUCAAUUUAACUUCAAAAAAAGACCCUGACUGGUCUUUGAUUUGCUGAACAUGCCAUGGGUUCCCGCUCUGAGAGGUCGAUGCGGAUGUUGAGCAGCCAGACAUAUUGGUUUCAAUGGUUGUUGGGCCGUCCGCACCACUAUGUGCUGACUCGUCAUGCGUGGUUCUGGUUGGACAACUUGGUGGCGCUGCUGAGCAGAGCGGUUCCGCCGGCAAGAGGAAGCAGUCGCCAACUCAAUGCGUCGAGCCCACAAGGAAGGUGAACCCAGAGGCACCACGGUGGACCAGAAGGUUAAGAGUUUGGCGUGCCCCUCUGGAUAGGGCACCCUGUCCAGGCAGGGUCACUCCAUUAGAAGAAACAAUUAGGAGGUACGCUGAUAAACCCUUGGACAAUGUAGUGAAGCCAAAUAUUGGGAUGAGUUUUGACUCACUUGGGGAAGCGUGUGAUUUCUAUAACCUCUAUUCUUGGGAGCUUGGAUUUGGUAUACGAUAUGGCAAGAGCUGUCUGAAUAUGGAGUGGACAAAGUGUAUGCAGGAGAUUGUUUGUGGAUGCUCGGGGAAGCCUGAGCAGCAGAAUAGCCGGUCCUGCCGGUGUGAGUGCCCUGCCAUGAUCAGAUUGCUUAGAUCUGUAGACAAUGUAUGGCUCAUUGCUGAGCACCGUUCCAGCCGCAACCAUUCAUUGUCUCUUACUUGCGGUGAGAAAGUUCAUUGGCCAUCACACAAGCACAUAGAUGUGUAGAUGAAGGAUUUGGUGAAGCAGCUUAGGGCGAACAAUGUGAACCCCAACAAGGUGUACAACAUAGUUGGCAGCUUUUGUUGUUCAACCUAGAAUGUGCCUUUCACAAAGUGGACACUGCGCAAUCUGUGUGGUUGGAUAAGUCGAGACCAGGCUAACGAUGAUGUAAAUAAGACACUAGCUGUGUUCAAAGAGAUAUGGCAGAACGACCGAAAAUUUACCUACUGAGUACAAGGUGAUGAAGAAAGCAGGAUCAAGAACCUUAUGUGGACAAAUGGGAACAACAAGCCACCUCGAAUUGUGCACAGAUGGUAUAAGUGGCAUGUUCUUAAGAAAGCAAAAGAGAAUCUUGGUCCAUUAUUGUACACCAGCAAGAGUGAGUUCAGGUCCGAAUUCCACAAAAUAGUGAAUCGCGUGAUAAGUGUGGAGGAGUUUGAGACUGCAUGGGGCUUGCUGAUUGAGAAAAAUAAUUUGAAGUCCCACAAUUACAUGACAAAUCCUUAUCUGAUAUGGCAUAAGUGGGCAAAGCCGCAUUUCAAAGGUUUCAUUAUUACAACCUUAUUUUUCAUGUCAAAGUCAAGUCUUCUGCGCCAAAAUGACUAGCACACAACGUAGCGAGAGUGCGAAUAUUAUGUUGAAGAUUUACAUGCCGCAAGCAAGCCCAAUGCAUGUGUUCAUGCGAUAGUACAUGAGGCUUCAAUUCGACUGAGAAUCGGAUGAGAGCUUCAAAGAGAAAAGGACAAGAAUUAGUGUUGUUGUGAUGAGAACAAAUGUUGCUAUCGAGAGGCAUGCAAGUAAAGUUUAUACAAGAAAGAUGUUUCAGCUAUUCAGUGAGAACCUCUUCAAAGGUGGACCAUACCAGGUAGAAGAAGUUGUGAGGAAGAAGAAAUACAUCACGGGGCACAAUGACGCCGACAAACGUGAGAAAUGGAGUAAAGUUGAUUUCGAGGUGACCAUAUCAAAUGAUGGUGUCUGUUUCAACUGUGAAUGUGGGCAGUUGACCCACAUGGCCACACGGGGAUGCUAUGUUGCCAUGCUAUGAAGGUUAUUUUCUCACUGCGGUGAUGGACUAGUUGGCGUGCCGGAGAUACCCAAGUGGCACAUCAUUAAGAAAUGGACUGAGUGAGCAAAUGAGAUUCUGCAGUAUAUGCAAACUGCCAGGACAUAAGAAUACCACCUGCCCGGAGAGGGGCGAUGUGCCAAAGAAGCUCGCAAGCUUGUGACAUGCCGUACUUCCUGCACGAGGCCCAUCCUGAGAAAUGCAUCUUAAUACUUUUUCCCAGCUAUGUGUAAUGUUAGAAUAAUAAUAAUCGAUGAUUUUCUAGUUGAUGGCUUGUGUUUGAACCUUCACACUUGUUCCUCCUUGUUGCAGUCUAUUUGCAUUCUGAACUUAAUAAUUUGAAUUUCAUGAAAUCUA